UAUUGUUGAUAUACCCGUUUUUUUUUCUAAAGCCAUGACCUUGGACCUAUCUUACCCUGUUCAGAGUAUGUGAGAAUUGAUUUCAUAUCUACGUUUCUAUCUAAGUUUGGGGUUGUUGUUGGUAUAGCAACCUUUAAGUUUGGGGUAGCUUUGCAGUACAUGAAUAGUAAGUGAAUGUCGUAUAAAAGAAAAAAAAAUAAAAUAAAAAAUAAAAAAAAGAAAAACAACAUGAAAAGAAAGAAAGAGAAAAGCGAAGAACAACUUUUGAAAGAUGCUACAUUCACUAGAAAUAAAAGGAAAAGAGGAUUGCAUAACCCUACAGGAAUAAAAAAAAAAAAAAAACGUAGUAAGAGAAUGAUUUCAUGUACUCUGAACCAAAAAAAAAAACCCUAGGUUCAACUUUCAUAGCCUACCUAAACCCAAGCCCCGUUACAACCAUAAAAGACCUCAAAAAGUGUGUGUGAUUGUACAUGUUGAUAGGAUGAGAGAAUUUAUUCAAACUGCUGAUUUGAUAUUGCAUAUUGUGAUUUGAGAGUGAUAACACUUUAACCCAGAGAGACUUGGUGAGAGUGUGAUAUAAGCUGACAGGUAAAGUCAUAUCUCUGAGGGAAAGAGUUUCUAGCUCGUUGGCUAUGUGGAAGAAUCAGAAAACCUGAAAAACAUCAAGAGGUCCAGUGCGAAAAAUUUCAGCAGUAUUGUGGUAAGAACUGUUUUACAGUAAGUUUGGGGUGACAUGAUCUUUGAUGGUAAUAAAAUGUUACUUGAGGACAAGCAACAAGCUAAGUUUGG
rnacentral:lncRNA from 1 species